rnacentral:tRNA from 2 species
GUACCCUUAGUUAAAUGGAUAUAACGGAAUCCUCCUAAGAUUCUAUUGGCAGUUCGAUUCUGCCAGGGUAUACCA